AGGGAAUCUUCCGCAAUGGACGAAAGUCUGACGGAGCAACGCCGCGUGAGCGAAGAAGGUCUUCGGAUCGUAAAGCUCUGUUGUCAGGGAAGAACAAGUACCGUUCGAACAGGGCGGUACCUUGACGGUACCUGACCAGAAAGCCACGGCUAACUACGUGCCAGCAGCCGCGGUAAUACGUAGGUGGCAAGCGUUGUCCGGAAUUAUUGGGCGUAAAGCGCGCGCAGGCGGUCUCUUAAGUCUGAUGUGAAAGCCCACGGCUCAACCGUGGAGGGUCAUUGGAAACUGGGAGACUUGAGUGCAGAAGAGGAGAGCGGAAUUCCACGUGUAGCGGUGAAAUGCGUAGAGAUGUGGAGGAACACCAGUGGCGAAGGCGGCUCUCUGGUCUGUAACUGACGCUGAGGCGCGAAAGCGUGGGGAGCAAACA
rnacentral:rRNA from 1 species